ACCAGGAUGUUGGCUUAGAGGCAGCCACUCGUUCAAAGAGUGCGUAAUAGCUCACUGGUCGAGUGAUCUUGCGCGGAAAAUUUAACGGGGCUAAGCAUGUAACCGAAGCUUAGGAUUUGCGGGAAACCGCAAGUGGUAGGGGAGCGUCGAAUGCGGGGUGAAGUCGCACCGGAAGGAGCGGUGGACUGCAUUCGAGUGAGAAUGCCGGAAUGAGUAGCGAGAAUUAUGUGGGAAUCAUAAUGGCCGAAAAUCUAAGGUUUCCUGGGGAAGGUUCGUCCGCCCAGGGUAAGCCGGGAGCUAAGGCGAGGCCGAGAGGCGUAGUCGAUGCACAUACGGUAGAAAUUCCGUAGCCGGUACAAUUGUUAAGCAUAGUGACACAUGAGCGUAGCGCUACCGGGCGUUGGUUGCCCCGGGCGUAAGCGAGUCGAAUGAGACGAAGUGCGUGAAGCUUGUGGCGAGAAAAGCUAUGCGGAUUGGUUGUACUGCCCGUACCGCAAACCGACACAGGUAGAUGAGGAGAAGAUCCUAAGGCCAACGGGAGAAGGGUUGUUAAGGAACUAGGCAAAUUGACCCCGUAACUUCGGAAUAAGGGGUGCCUACGAGAGUAGGUCGCAGAGAAUCGGCCCAAGCAACUGUUUACCAAAAACACAGGUCUCUGCUAAAUCGAAAGAUGACGUAUAGGGGCUGACGCCUGCCCGGUGCUGGAAGGUUAAGAGGAGGACUUAGGGGAACCCGAAGGUUUGAAUUGAAGCCCCAGUAAACGGCGGCCGUAACAAUAACGGUCCUAAGGUAGCGAAAUUCCUUGUCAGGUAAGUUCUGACCCGCACGAAAGGCGUAAUGAUUUGGGCACUGUCUCAACAGCCCGCCCGGCGAAAUUGUAGUACCGGUGAAGAUGCCGGUUACCCGCAACUAGACGGAAAGACCCCAUGGAGCUUUACUGCAGCUUAAUACUGAGAUUCGGUAAAUCAUGUACAGGAUAGGUGGGAGGCAUUGAAGCACGGUCGUCAGGUCGUGUGGAGCCAGCCUUGGGAUACCACCCUUGGUUUGCUGGAUUUCUAACCUGCUGCCCUGGAUCGGGUAGGGGGACACUGUUAGGCGGGCAGUUUGACUGGGGCGGUCGCCUCCUAAAAUGUAACGGAGGCGCUCAAAGGUUGGCUCAGCAUGGAUGGAAACCAUGCAAUGAGAGUAAACGUAUAAGCCAGCCUGACUGCGAGACCGACGGGUCGAGCAGAGACGAAAGUCGGAGUUAGUGAUCCGGUGGUAUGUGAGUGGAAAUGCCAUCGCUCAACGGAUAAAAGCUACCCUGGGGAUAACAGGCUGAUCUCCCCCAAGCGUCCACAGCGACGGGGAGGUUUGGCACCUCGAUGUCGGCUCGUCGCAUCCUGGGGCUGAAUUAGGUCCCAAGGGUUUGGCUGUUCGCCAAUUAAAGCGGCACGCGAGCUGGGUUCGGAACGUCGUGAGACAGUUCGGUCCCUAUCUGUUGCGGGCGUAGGAGAUUUGAAGGGAGCUGUCCUUAGUACGAGAGGACCGGGAUGGACGCACCUCUGGUGUACCAGUUGUUCUGCCAAGGGCACGGCUGGGUAGCUACGUGCGGACGAGAUAAACGCUGAAGGCAUCUAAGCGUGAAACUCCCCCUGAGAUAAGAUCUCCACUGAGGCUCGACGUAGACUAUGUCGUUGAUAGGUCAGAGGUGUAAGUGCUGAGAGGCAUUAAGCUGACUGAUACUAAUAAGCCGAAAGCUUGAU
rnacentral:rRNA from 1 species